GACGAACGCUGGCGGCGUGCUUAACACAUGCAAGUCGAACGGAAAGGCCCUGCUUUUGUGGGGUGCUCGAUUGGCGAACGGGUGAGUAACACGUGAGUAACCUGCCCUUAACUUUGGGAUAACUUCAGGAAACUGGGGCUCAUACCGGAUAGGAGCUCCUGCUGCAUGUUGGGGAAUGGAGAGUUUCGGCGGUUGUGGAUGGACUCGAGGCUUAUCAGCUUGUUGGUGGGGUAGUGACUUACCAAGGCUUUGAAGGGUAGCAGGCCUGAGAGGGUGACCGGCCACAUUGGGACUGCGAGAGGGACCAGACGCCUACGGGAGGCAGCAGUGGGGAAUAUUGCGCAAUGGGCGGAAGCCUGAUGCAGCAACCCCGCGUGCGGGAUGACGGCCUUCGGGUUGUAAACCGCUUUCGCCUGUGACGAAGCGUGAGUGACGGUAAUGGGUAAAGAAGCACCGGCUAACUACGUG
rnacentral:rRNA from 1 species